ACGGAAGGCAGCAGUGAGGAAUAUUGGUCAAUGGGCGAGAGCCUGAACCAGCCAUGUCGCGUGCAGGAAUACGGCCCUACGGGUUUUAAACUGCUUUUGCCUGGGGAUAAAGUGGCGGACGAGUCCGCUAUUGCAGGUACCAGGCGAAUAAGGAUCGGCUAACUCCGUGCCAGCAGCCGCGGUAAUACGGAGGAUCCGAGCGUUAUCCGGAUUUAUUGGGUUUAAAGGGUGCGUAGGCGGCACGCCAAGUCUGCGGUGAAAUGUCAGGGCUCAACCUUGGCACUGCCAUGGAAACUGGCGAGCUAGAGUGCGUUUGGGGUACAUGGAAUGUGUGGUGUAGCGGUGAAAUGCAUAGAUAUCACACAGAACGCCGAUCGCGAAGGCAGUGUACCAAGCCGCAACUGACGCUGAGGCACGAAAGUGCGGGGAUCGAACAGGAUUAGAUACCCUGGUA
rnacentral:rRNA from 1 species